GGGUCAUAGCUCAACUGGCUAGAGCAUCCGCCUUGCAAGCGGAAGGUUAGGGGUACCCUUCGGGAAGCCG
rnacentral:tRNA from 1 species